ACAAGACACAUCAUUUGUGGAGCCUUCUGAAUAUGAAAGAGAAUAAAUUGUUGGCACGUUUUCAUACCAUCCAACUGCUACGAUAGAUUUUAAGUCAAACUUUCAAAAUAGGAAGCAGAGUAAAUAAUAUCUGCCUGUCAGGAAAGAGGACCACUGUUCCUUAAUUCUAUUUGGGUUUGGACCUUUUAUACUGGAUAGUCACUGCAAAUUUGGAAUGUGAAGCUGGCUCUCUGUCUUGCCUUUAAAACAAACAAAAAAUCAAAACCCAAGAACAACAGAAACACAACGCACACAUCGUAAAUUCUACGAUGUCUUGAAAUAGGGGCAAGAGAGACAUAAAUGAAUGCAGAGGUUUGCUGUGAAAU